rnacentral:lncRNA from 1 species
AAGCAAGAUGUUGGGGAGGAGAAGCUGCAAGGAAGAAUACUCAUGGAAAGUAAUUGCUGUGGGAGAGGGAAGAGAGCUGCUGGGCUGAGCUGGAAGUCUUUGGUGGCACUGCUAGUUACCUGCUGAGUGCAGUGAAGACCUGCAAACCUGGUUCCAGUGCUGUGUUGAUUGCAAACUGGAACAGCGUGCGAAUGUGUACGUGUGUGUGUGUGUGUGUGAGAGAGAGAGGGGA